rnacentral:rRNA from 1 species
GUGGGGAAUAUUGGACAAUGGGCGAAAGCCUGAUCCAGCCAUGCCGCGUGUGUGAAGAAGGUCUUCGGAUUGUAAAGCACUUUAAGUUGGGAGGAAGGGCAGUAAGUUAAUACCUUGCUGUUUUGACGUUACCAACAGAAUAAGCACCGGCUAACUUCGUGCCAGCAGCCGCGGUAAUACGAAGGGUGCAAGCGUUAAUCGGAAUUACUGGGCGUAAAGCGCGCGUAGGUGGUUUUGUAAGUUGGAGGUGAAAUCCCCGGGCUCAACCUGGGAACUGCCUCCAAAAAUGCAUGACUAGAGUACGGUAGAGGGUAGUGGAAUUUCCUGUGUAGCGGUGAAAUGCGUAGAUAUAGGAAGGAACACCAGUGGCGAAGGCGACUACCUGGACUGAUACUGACACUGAGGUGCGAAAGCGUGGGGAGCAAACAGGAUUAGAUACCCGGGUAGUCC